AUGAUACAUCAGCCUGAUGAAAGCGUAACUAACUUCACUGGGAAUCGCACCUGGGAAGUUUUUUCACCUAGGCAAAUGAGGGAGGGUGAUGUAAUGGACUUCCUCAUGGAUGAUUGGAAGCAAGAUCCGGAGAGAAAUGUUGAUUUCGCAUCUGGGAAAAGGAUAUUGCUGAGUCCAUAUUUCAUCACGGUUGUGCUUGACUAUUCGUUUUACGAGGAUGAAAAUAAAGUGUUUAAUGUGGAGAGUGCAGCGAGAGAUUUCAAGAGCUAUGUUAAAGCUAAUGAAGACUUGCUUAGUGCCGACCUUAUCAUGAUGCCUCUAUUCAAGCCUAUGGUUUUAUCAAAGGAUAGGAAAGUGAACCACUAUUCCUUAUAUGUCAUGAAUCGGUAG
rnacentral:rRNA from 1 species